rnacentral:rRNA from 1 species
CUUUCCAACAACGGAUCUCUUGG